GUUCACACCCGGAGGGUCACCAGUGUCCCAUCAAAUUCUAAUGAACCUAUUGAAGUCAUUAAAAUCAAAAAGAUAAUUGACUAUAAUUAUCUUUGAUUUUCUUUUCAAUUCCUUGCGGGUCUGUAAGGGUUAAGCCGGUUGAUAUCAAACUCAGUACAUUUUAUUUAUUCCAUUUUCACAGUGUAAUUGCAAUUUCAUCAUAGUUCAAUUAUAAUUAAACAAUAAAUAGGAUCAUAAUUAAUAUGGAUCUUUCUUGGGAUUUUGACGUUCCGUCAUUAGUUAAGUUUGACCUCCUUAAGGAUCAUACUUAUAGCCUUAUAGAAAAAUACAUUGAUAUUGACCAUGAAUGUAAAUCAAUGUUCCUCUGUUCCAACUGUCAAGUUUUCAAGAUAUAAUUUACGCAUUCUACAGAUGAUGAAAAAUACGAAUCAAUUUUACAGAGCAAUAAAAUAACCAAAAAAUCAAAUAUUAUAUCGUGGAGCUAAAAAAACUGAACGAAAAAAGUCGAGUGAUGUGCAAUUCGAAAAAAAGAAAUAAAGAUAUUUAGCAUAAACCUGCCUUAAUGAAAGGGAUAUCUAAAAAUAGUACCUUCAGUGACAUUAAUUCAGAAAAAGUAUCUGGGACAACCUCUACAAGACGUUUAAGUAACUGAAGGUUGCAAUGGUUGUUUCAAGUAAGAUAACUAAAACAUUCAGGAGAGCCUACAUUGGAAAUAGCAACAAAUAUGAAGAAAAGUCAUCCUCCAACACUUUCGGGAAUUGCCUCAAAAAAGUUAUUGAAACGCAGUCUUUGAAAGAAAAUACGACGAAUAAACCAUUAAAGGCCCAUCCAAUGUCUUCUUUUACAUUAAAUAAAAUGAUCAAGUUUUAUCAAGAUAAAAAGGAAUCCAAAUUAACAGAAUCUUCAAAGGUUAGUGGCUUGAAAAACAUCAAACAUCGAUCAUCCAAUAUAUCUUCUCAUCUAACUCGUGACUCAUCAGUCGGUGAUAAGGAUCGUAAUAAACGCAAUUUUAGUUAUGUUCCUAUGGCAGAAAUGAUUAUGAAACUCGAAAAUACAACUCCCUAAUCUUGGGCAAUCUCAAAAUAGCAAUCCAAGUUUAACAAAUAGUCGAUCUAAUAGCUUAGUACCUCGUAUUACCCCCAAAAUUGUCAAAGAAAAGAACCGACAGUAUUGUCCCACUAAAUCCUCACAUGAAACUCUACCUUCCCCUUUGCCCAAAAAUAAAAAGUACCAAAGAAAGGUUACAUUUUCAGAUAGUAUAAACAGUGUUCAAUCUCAGGCCUCCUACUCAAUAUACAGAAAACUAAAAGUGUUACUAAAAUACAGCCUUUUUCAUUCUAUCCAAAGAUUGCAGAGUCCGAGGCUAAAAAAGCCCUCAAAUUUGAGGACAUUUUAGAAAAUGAGAUUGAACCUUUUAAUCUUGACGUAAGGCGGAACUUUAUUUAUUUAUUAAAUUUUAAAUAAAUAAAAUUGAUCCAGAUUGAUAAUUGUCUUUAACCGCUUGAAUAAAAAAACGAGUGGAGAAUCUCAAGCUCGAAGAAAAGAAGCAAAAAGAACUAGCCAAAUUUAAAGGCAGGCCUUCAAAAACAGAAAGGACUUUUGCUCCUUUACUUUCUACUAAGCCUUUGGUGGAAAUUGUUACCCUCGAAUUGCAAAGUGAUCGCCGAGUGCAAGAAAGAAAGGCUUUUGAACUACGAAAAAAAGAAAAGGGGUCGGAGGUGCAAGAACUAGAGAAGAAGCUCGAGGGUAAAAAGCAGAUCCGUAAACUACAAAAUGAUAACUUUUGGUCAAAGACCUAACAUUAGGAUACAAACAAGAAGAUUAUCGGAAGGAGGAUGACCCAUUUGUGAACGAGAUUACUUUUUUAUUAGGAUGACUUUUCCUCUUUUUUGUUUCCAAUUGAGGUUCUCCUGAAUGUUUUAACUGUCUUACUUGAAACAACCAUUGCAACCCUUCAGUUACUUAAACGUCUUGUAGAGGUUGUCCCAGAUACUUUUUUCGAAUUAAUGUCACUGAAGGUACUAUUUUUAGAUAUCCCUUUCAUUAAGGCACGUUUAUGCUA
rnacentral:lncRNA from 1 species